rnacentral:rRNA from 1 species
UAACUUAGAACGACUCUCGGCAACGGAUAUCUCGGCUCACGCAUCGAUGAAGAACGUAGCAAAAUGCGAUACUUGGUGUGAAUUGCAGAAUCCCGUGAACCAUCGAGUUUUUGAACGCAAGUUGCGCCCGAAGCCAUCCGGUUGAGGGCACGUCUGCCUGGGCGUCACGC